CGUAGAUCGCCCGGUCUACGUUUACCUCCAGGUGGCAGGAAAUGGCAGGGAACAGCUGCACAUACUUCACGAGAUGGUCUUUGACCCACUGGUCAUUAACGGGACCCCUCUCAGGAUGGCGGCACUCCGUGCUAUGGCGAUCAAGGACACUAAAGCAUUGAAUAACAGUGUUAUUUUGUGGAAUACACAGCCAUAGACACUGUAAUACUAAUUACUGUGGCAUACUUACUAUUUAAUGUACCCCACAUCAUUUUCAGCCAGCCAUCUGAAACUCUUCCCUUUGUACUUCCCAAAGGUCAGCAUCAGCUGGUCCAGGCACUGCACCUCGGUGGGGUCUGGAGUGACCAUCCGGCAUCUCCUUUUAGCUAAAGACAACGUAAGCACAAAUGGUUCUAGUGCCCUGCUUUUAAUUACCAUGGCUGGAUGUAAACACAUCUAUGACUCCCAACUACAGUAUUACCUUCUUCCCAAGCUGUUUUGGGGUCUCUUAACCCAUCGUCACCUUGUACCGGAUGGGGCUGCCUAACAGCUUUGGCCUCCUUAGAUGCCCUUAGGAGGCAUUGUUGCCUAUCUUGAGGCACUGUUUUGUCCAAAAUGGACAGGACAGGCAUCAGAGGGUCCAUUUUUUUGGGCUGUGAAGACGAGCAGUAAACUCAGAGUGCUUCAUGUGGUGGCCGGUCCUGAGGGUGGCGUUGAAGCAGUGGAUCCAGUGGAACACAUCCAGACGAACGAGCAUCCCUGCCUCUGCCCAUCCGCUGAACAGCUGCUCCUCUGAGGAAACGCCCAGGACACGACAGCAGCCACGGUCCACGUACAACAGUUCAGGCGGUGCCUCUCCUGCCCUCUCAUACCUCGCCAUGAGCCCCUCAGCCAUCGGCCUCAUCUUGUCCAAAGACUCCUCGCAGGUUAGGACCGAGAUGAGGAUCUGCCCCCUGCACGUUGGCCACGUUCGUGCACCACUCAGCAGUGCCUUUGCCGUCACCAGACAACUCCUGCACCUGCCUCCACACCUUUGUCAUCGUGCUCCCCUCGGUGCGGUCCCUCAGGAGGCGGAUCACCGCCUUGUCCACACCACGCCUGAAAUCACAACACAUUGGCAGUCAAUCUCAGAUAUGUUAUUGUACAGUCAAUAAAGAAUUCAAAUCACUGUGGAAUUAUGCUCACUGUAACGGGUGGAAAUACGGCUCUGUGCGCUGGGGUGAGUUGACGCAAGACGCCCUCCUCCCACUACAGGAACCGGCCGAUGGCGUGGUCCUCGGAGUCCUUGGCAGCUUUCCGGCAGGCUUUGCAAGCCAGAACCUCCGUGAGCAUGGAGUACCAGCCCCCGACGUCACAGAUCUGACAGACGGUCUUCGAAUACCCACAACUGUAGAGGAACGCGCUGUUCUUGUCCCUCGCAGGACACUCAGGCCUGUGGCAGCAAAGACCGUACCGCUACACACCCACCGGUCUCCAAAAACGCACGCGGCUCUUGAAAAAGCCGUCCGCCGAGGGCACUCACCCCCCUACCACGCCAGGGGUCUCGGAUGGGUAAAACCACAUUCGGUCAUCUUUGAGGACUCUCCUCCACCGCGUUCUCCCAUAUUUGUCUACGUAAGACAUGGGCUUUUGGAAGAGUCCCCGCUCCUCAUCCUCCUUCAGCCACUGCUGAUCCUGUGUGGGCAGACCGUAGCUAGCAGACUCCCACAUCCUGUGCCAUCCCUCAUACUUCAUCUGAAAUUACAGAAAAAAAACAGGGCCUAACUUACCUCCUUGGGCCUGUUCUACGAAGGAAGUUCAACCUACCCAGAUGUAACCCAGGGUUACUUUGCUAAACCGGGGUUGACAAAACCAGACGUGAGGAUCUGCCCCUGCUCACUGGCCAGGUCGGUGCACCAUUCUGCAGUGCCUUUCCCAUCCCCAGACAAUUUCGUUCAGAUCUGAGAACAGAUUAACAUUGACAAAACAUUAAGAGGCUUGAGUGCCCAGCAAGUGGCAGUAAGACCGCAUUAUCUGUACCGUUGUGGAUACUCCCACACAGUCAGACAGAUCUGCGGAAUGUCUGGCUGGUUCUCCAUGCUGACGGAGUUGCUGGCCUGUAAUGCAUGGAGGAAAGCGGCUAAAGAGUCACAAGAACACCCCAUUGGCCGUUUCCUGUCAUGGGAGGCAUGCAUAAUGGACCAGCUCAUCCCAGCUCACAGGGCUGUGUUCCCUGCUGUACUUAUCUUACGGCGUGGUGUGGACAAGGAGGUGAUGCGGCUGCUGAGGGUCCGUACUGAGGGCAACACAAUGUCCAAGGUGUGGAGACAGGUGCUGGAGAGCCAUUGCGAGGAGUUACCUGCAGAGGAAGGACCUCUAUACCACCCUCCUCAGCCAGUGCAAUGAACCUGGAAAGAUCACGAGGAAUUUGAGUGUGUCCUUUCAACCUCCUCCACCAAGGGCAGAGCCACCAUCAGCAAAACUGCUACGGAAGGCCUCAAUGAUUGCAGAGGCAGACAAUAUAGAGGAUUAUCGCACCCAGAUCAUGUCGACAUUUGGAAAAGUCCUGAAGUAUGACUCCACCAAAAAGAUCGGCAAGAAAUUGUCUGGGGAUGGGAAAGGCACUGCAGAAUGGUGCACCAACAUGGCCAGUGAGCAGGGGCAGAUCCUCAUGUCCCUGGAGAAGCUACGUCCAAUGGCUGAAGGCCACCAGAGCGGGAGAGGCGCCUCCCGAACUGAUGUAUUUGGCCAGCCUGGGAAAUUGGGUUUGAUUUGGUUUUCCACCAUUUCAGUGGAUCCUCUUGUGUAGUUGCAGGCAUGGAAGAGUACCUGGACAUUUCUAGGGUCAGCAUCUGUUCAGACGUGUAGUCCUGUUCUCUAUCCUCUUGCUGUUUUCUCAUUGUCUUUUUGAGGAGACCAGAAAUUCCCUUCGAUGCAGAGCUGGCUUGAGCGAUGUCUUGAGGUUCUCCAGCAGUUGAACUGGUGCCAGCUUCCUCCACACUCUCUACCUCUCUGUUAAGAAGAUGGAGUACGUCCACGUUUUCGACAAAACUCGAAAUCGAGGGUCAAGGGCGCAUGUCAUAAUGACCACAUCAUCUAUAUUUGGAUCUGAGUAACGGGACAGAAGAUCUUGCUUGAUGGCACUCUUCAUACUGCCCACUAGAUUGCUGUCCCCAUCCUCCAUGGCCAGGAUAUUCUCUGUGAGAUGUAAGAGUACUGGUUUGAGGGCAGAGACAGAGAUGCAAGUCUCUGAAGACAUUGAGUCAGUGAAGGCUCUUAGUGGCUUGAGGACUUUGGCUGUGUCUUCAAGGGUUGAGAGAAAUGCCCCUUUGAGCACAAGGUGCCUGGUUUUCCGGUCUGCCAUGAGUGUCGCAGCCACUGCAGCAUGUUGUUCCACAAACCUGAAAGCACACAAUGUAAUUGGUUAUGUUUAUUAUACAGCUCUUGCAAGUAGAACGCUCUCUUGACUUGAAUGGGCUUUAGCAAAGGUCUAUGGUCACUUGUUUUCGUUUCAGUUUUGAAUGCAGCUUUCAUGUUUGCAGCGUUGCCUGUUGUCACGUUCACCACUGCAUUCUUGCUGAUUACCCGCUCCUCCAACAGAUCGUUAAAUGUCUUUUUGAUGUUCUCACUGGUGUGGUCGAGGGGGAGUGAUGCAGUUUCAAGGCAGGCUGAUUUCAGCUCUCAUCCAUUUGUUGAAAAAUCAGUUGUUAAGCUCAUAGGUGGCCUGUCACACUCGUCCUAAGAUCAAAAUGUUCCCCUUCUUGCAACAAGCUCAUGACCCCAGCCUUGUUCUUUAGGCAGAGCUUUGGAAUCGCUUUCUCUAAAAAAAAAACUUUCUCAGAGGAAUUUUAUAUUUUGGAGCCAGCGCUUUAACAAACGCAUAAAAUCCUGGCCUCUACACCAUUCUAAAAGGCAUCAUAUCUUUAGCAAUAAAAUAGGUUUAGGCCUAAACUAUGGUAACUCUAGAUUUUAAAUAGGGUUUUAAUAGACCAUUCCGAUCUGUCAAUCAAGCCUAGCGGAAUAUCAGGUUGUCUGAUAACACCCACAUGUAAUUUGUAGGGCUAACAUACCACCAGAGAGGGUUAGAGCGGAGCGCAACCACAAGAUACUUAUGUCAGCAAUGGAGUGAUUUGGUUACACACCUCUUAUCACAGCCGUGAUCUUUAAGACUGCAAAAGCCUUCUUUCUCCCCCCUUGUCCCAGCCAGUUGAAUUGUUGGGCAAACUGGUCCUCCGUAAUGUGGCGCAGCACCUUCCUCACCACAUCCCCGGGGUUGCAACCUCCCAGGGUUGCAAGGUAUGCAGCCUACAGAUAAGAACAGAAUGGAUACUAGUGUUUCAGAAAGAAUAACUUGGUUUGUGGUUUAUACUGUACAGUAAUUUCCCGCAUAUAAGCCGAAUUGUGCCGCAUAGGGUCCCGCAUAUAAGCCGCAGGACAGUGUUUCAUGCAAGUUAAAAAGAACAAAACCAUAUUAACACCAUAUUAACUGGCCCCCUGUAUUAACCUCAUAGCUGAGGAAAUUUUGCAAAAUCAAUGUAUAAGCCGCGGCCAAUUGUCGGGAAAUUACGGUAGUUAGAAUAAGGUGGAAAAUGAACAGUGUUAGCCAUUUCACUAAUGAAGGAUCUUUGAUACCACCGUACUAAUGUAACAUGGUUUCACAUGAUGGAGUUUUUAAGUAAAAAUGUCUUGCAGCUGCUGUUACAUUGUAUUACUGUGCCAGCCACCCAAAAGUUUAACGGCAGUGCUAUUGCUAACGAACAAUAAUCAGUCUGUGCUACUGUUCUGUUCAUCAUGAUGACACUUCCACAAAUCCUUCAUUCAGUCACUCUUUCAUCUUCUACUACGCUAACGGCCUUACCAGAUAUGUUUGUGAGGUACUUACUGUAGGCUAUAGCACUGAACUUAUGACAUCAUCUUAUGCUAAACCUAUACGUUAUCUGCUUACCCUCUCCAUGGUAACACAAUGAUUUGGGUGAUAGUUUGAAAAAUUGUUGAAACAUGUAUUCACAUACAUAUUGAUAAUCUGAAAAAACAUACUAUGUGUGAUUAAAUAUAAUGAAUGAUUAAUGAAAUGUAUUCCUCUACAUUGAUGAAUGAAAACUGUAUUGAGUAAUGAAACUAACUCCAUACUGUAAUUAAGGAUACAAGGUUAUGUAAAAUCAUAUUCUUUGUAACCAUGUACUCUUAUAUUUGAUAGAUCCUUUGAACAAUGUGUUCUUUUGUUUUCCUAUGUACCAGCAAUCUUUUUAUGCUAUUGUGUAUCAGCAAUGUUUUGAUAUGUUUAGCAAUAUUUUGGUCUGUGUAAAACACCUGAUUUACCAGGGGAGAUGAAAGUUUCACUAGGCCCAAAAUGUAACCCGCAAGUUCUGUUUUGUUAUUGAGAACAGAAGUUAUGUUCUGUUUAAAAAUAUUCCCCCUCUUACACAUGU